AUAAGGAGUCGGACCUGCCCAGUGAAUAAUUUUAAACGGCCGCGGUACUCUGACCGUGCAAAGGUAGCAUAAUCAUUUGCCCUAUAAUUGAGGGCUAGUAUGAAUGGUUUGACAAGAAUAAAGCUGUCUCUUUACAAUUUUAUAAAAAUUUAUUUAUAGGUGAAGAAACCUAUAUACAAUUAAAAGACAAGAAGACCCUAUCGAGCUUUAAAAUAAAUUAAUAAAUUUGAAAUAAUAUUUAAUUAAAAUAAUAUUUAUUAAAGAUUUUGGUUGGGGCGACAGUGGAACAAAUAAAGCUUCUAUUAAUAUAAUAAAAGACUCACUAGUAUUGAUCCAAAAAAUUUUGAUUAAAGAAAUUAGUUACCGUAGGGAUAACAGCAUUAUCUUUUUUGAGAGCUCAUAUCGAAAAAAAGGUUUGUGACCUCGAUGUUGGACCAGAAUAUCCUAAAGAUGCAGAAGUCUUUAAAGGUUGGUCUGUUCGACCAUUAAAAUUCU
rnacentral:rRNA from 1 species